rnacentral:pre_miRNA from 2 species
AAAGCUUAUAUACAGUUCCUUAGGUUCUUUGGUGCUCUUCUUCAUCAAUUAGAAUCGAAGUUUCACCUCAAUAAUCUCUUAAUAAAGGUUUGCAUUAAAGAUCAACAUAAAUUACCGAGUUGAAAUUCCAAUUUUGAUUGAAGAAUAGCACCAAAAGCACUUAAGGAACGGUAUCUAAGUUUC